rnacentral:rRNA from 1 species
CUUUCUUCUCCGCCGUCAAUUUUCCUCGUCUCUCCCUCCACCAUGCGCCUCAACUCCGCCGCCACCUCUCCUCGGAUGUCCGCCCACGGUCUGCCCAGAGGGACAGAGGGGGCCACCAAGCGACGGCAGAGCGGGUUCAUAGAGACGGAGAGGGUGAGUCCAUGGCCAGACGAGGGAGGAAGACAGAUGGCGGGGUGGAUCGGGUGCCCUAGGCCUAUGCUGUCGGCCUCCUCGUGCUGCUCACCAUCUCCGUCGCCGUCCUCAUCGCCAUCUGCCACUCCUCCUUCCCCCUGCCCAGACCGCGGGAAGAAGCCGAGAAGGGAGGCCGACCGGCGGCAGCCACGCUCGACAACAUCCUCGCCUUCGCAUCAAGGGAGAGGAAGUCGCCUCUGCGUCCCUCAUCUGUGAGUUUCUUUUCGGGCCACCGACUCCACGGAGCUUGUCAAGAUGGUUGUUACGCAGAUGGUUGUUGUUGUGCUCUUUGUUCGUGUUCGUGCUUGUGUAGCUCCCACUCUGCUGCAGGAGGAUUGGGUUGGAUUGGUUUCCACUUGCCCUGUUCUCUGUUUGAGAACCUGAGAUGCAGCCCUCCAAAUCUUGGGCCCUAGGAAAGGGAGAUUUGUUUUGCUUCUACUCUACAUUCACUGUUGUUAUCUUCACUUUGCCACUCAUGGACGCUUCUUUGUUUCUUUUUUAUGCAUGUGUGGUCUGGGUGACAGGAGAACAAGUUCCUCAAGUUAAUGUGGAAUCCAUUCUCAACUUGUUACCACAGGGGUAAGCCCCCGAGUCAUACAUACAUCUCAACUUGUGAACAUUUUUUUAGCCAAUCUUGUUUGCUGCAUACACAAUUACAGUUCAGGAUAGAAAACAGAUUGUAUAUUGUGAUAUACAGUUCUUGGUCGCAGGUCUGUAGUUGUGUCAUGUGCGUUCAUUGCAGGUGCUCCUCUCCUCCCCAGCUCUCUCCCCCCUCUCUCUUUCUCUCUUCACAUGUACUAUCUCCUGAUUUUAGAUCUUUCUCAUCUUUUUUGACCAUCCCCUGCCAUGUGUGAGAACAAGGAGUAAUACUGCUCAUGUUUUUACAUCCUAAUUGAUUAUAUUUUGUACAACAGCUUGUUCUUUUAAUGGUAGUUUGUUACCUGCUUAGUUAUUCUGUUAUUGACAUGGUCAUUCCAUUUUUAUGACAAUAAAUGAGCUAUUUAAGUCCAGUCUCAUGGUUUUUUAUUGCUGCUGUUUCUCGUUGGAUAUUCAGGAAUCAAAUUGACAACACAUAUUCUAUAGGUGUUCCUAAUAGCAACAGUGGUAAUCAACAACGAGAAAAAAAAAGUGUGGGGCUGGAUUUGUACUAGGAUGAGCAGUACAGUGGAGGGGAUUGUGUGGCAGUCCAAGGAAGUCUCUAGGAGAAUGCAGUUUUCUGGGUCCAGCUUUUUAACCCUGGACUUUCCGUGGAAGGAUACGUACAUCUGCCUUAUUCGAUAACCAAAACUGGAUGCUCUACCAAGCACCUGUCCAGCCCUGUGUGAGCUACACUUCAAUUUGUAUUCUCAGCAAACCAAAAGAAAUGAUGCUGACAUUCCGGUCAGAUGAAGUGAUUUGUUCAAGCCACAACAAUAAAGAGAAGAUGGAAUAUGUGGUGAGCUAUCUCAAAAAAGUCCGAAGCCAUUCAUCUUUGGGACCAAGCUGUAUGCACGUAGCUGGGCUCUCCAUGGGCAGCAGAUGGAAUAUGUGGCGAGCUAUCUCAAAAAAGUCCGAAGCCAUUCAUCUUUGGGACCAAGCUGUAUGCACGUAGCUGGGCUCUCCAUGGGCAGCAUGGCGCUGGUGAACACCAACAAAGCCUUUGACGCUCUCCUAAAUUAUGAGAACUGUUCCUUCAGAUGCAUGCCAAAACAUCUUCGUCUCACUAUUCACUCCCUGGAGACAUCGUCAUUAAUCUGUAUUGUCACCUAUAGCUUGUAUGGCAAACUUCAUGUUCAUAAUGUUUUUGUGCCAUGUGUGAUGCGCUCAGCAGUUGGUUAUAUUCCCUUGUGGAUUAUUGUUUCCUAUAAAGAGUGGAUCAUCCAUCUAAACUACUAUACAAGUAUCAAUGCAGAUGACCUUAAUUAUCUUUCUUUCUCUUUCAAUCAAUUUUAG